rnacentral:lncRNA from 11 species
CUUUCAAUGCUGGUGAAAUUUUCAUCUCAUGUAGUUAUACUACAGAAAAUGAAUAAAGGUAAUUAAGCAACAACAGCAGCCAAACACAAAGGCAAGUCUUGUCCCGGAACUUACUUAGCAUGAUGAUUAAUUCCGUCUCCGGCUUGAAGGUGGGCGGGAAGCUACAUUCUUGUCUCCAUGUGAGUCCGCCAUAACCAUGGAGGGAGGUCACGGCACAGGGUGGUCAUGCCACAUGGCCCUUCGUCCGGCAUGUCAUCUGCGGCCACGUCACCCUGGAGUGGUAAAAUGCAGACACAUUUGGAAGGUCAGGAAGCUGUUUGGAUCCUUGGGAUGUUGUGCCAUUGACCCGCUGUACGAAGAUCGGGCCACGAGCCCAUCAAAACACCUUCCUUUCAAACUUGAAAGGGAGAAAAAACAAAAUGCUGCCUAAAUUGGCAAUCAGAGUGUUGGAGGCUGCCAAAGAAGAUACAAGUUUGGUAAUGAUGCAAAUGAGACCGGACAAGAGCCAAAUGGGAACCUGGCAUUGACUGAUUGAGGAAGGCAACAUGAAUUGGAAUGCUGUUGGGACUUUUCCCCCUUAAAUAUGGUAUCUCAGAAUGACAAAAGUUGGUUUCCUUCCUGUGUUAACACCCGAAAGGGCAUGUCAGCUAUCCAGAUUGUUUCCUCUGUAUUUGGCUGUCUUGCAGUUGAUUCAUUCCGCUUCAUUUGGAGUCCUUUGGCCUUGUUCUCUAAAUGUUUCUGAGUUACCCCAAAGGAACAAAUGUGUUCUUACAAUUAUAGUACGCCGCCAUACUAAUAAAUUAAGGAUCCAGUGAAUAUUUGUGGCUUACGAUUUCUUGAUGAGCAAAACAUUUGUUUGUGCAGCUGCUACUAAAUCUUCCAAAUUAAAACAUGGUACGGCUUCUCUUAUGCAUCAAUUUGAUAACUUUGGUUUCAUUUACGUACACUUCAAAAAUGAUCUCAACCCAUCAAAUUUUGUGUGUCCCUCAAAGUCCU